CAGGGUAGGGACUGAGGGAUGCUGGGAAAGCCUAGCGGCCGGGUCGGCUUUGAUGUGUUAAAUAGGCACCUCGGCCAUUUGUCCCUUUCUUUACCCUCAGAGCCUUUUCUGCCAGCCCUGGUUUUAACCUCUGAGUACCUGAAGACCCAUUAAGAUGACUCAUUACCAUAAUCAUUUUUAGAGGGAAACUGGACACAAGCAAUUAGAAUUGGUGCUACACUAUGGCUGCAUCAGCACUGGGCCUUGUCAGGACAUGGCUGGUGUUCUGUGGAACGCAGCGUGGGAAACACUGCCUGGGCCUUUACUUAUGGUGAGAGUAUGAGAAGGACAACACCAGCUUUGCAGUACAUCAGGAACAGAGCAGUGCCCGGAGCCUGCAGGAUGGUGCACCUCCCCCUGCCACGUUGACUGCACAGACACUGGCUGAGGCGUGUGGAGAGACUGUGGAUCUCCUGAGAUACACGUCUUUCUUUCCUCAAUCCUCACUCCGCUGCUCAGGUACAAACCGGACUAGUUGGCUGACUGGACCAUGGGCACUGCUGUUCUGCGUUGGCUGACUGGACCAUGGACACUGCUGUUCUGCCUGCAUGUGUGUCUGUGUGAGGAUGCCAGAUUCCCUGGAACCGGAGUGACAAUCAGUUGUCAGCUGCCAUGUGGGAAUUGAACCCGGGUCCUCGGGAAGAGCAACCAGUGCUCUUAUCUGCUGAGCCAUCUCUCCAGUCUUGAUGAUGACAAUAUUUUUAAAUAAGUGGAAUAAAGUUUAAUAGAAAUGAAA